rnacentral:misc_RNA from 1 species
GCUUUUUGGACUGCUGUUUAAUUUUAGAACGGUAAUGGUUGCAAACUGAGAACUUGAUCAUGAUUUUCAACCUCUAGGUUUUUAAAUGAGAUCCAUCAUGCUGUACAUAUACUUGAAUAUUCGUCUUUCUUCUUAUACAAGGGAAAAAAAUUAUCAUUCUUGUGACUCAGUAAUUGUUUUUGUAACUUUUAUGUAGGAUCUCCUCAAGAUAAACAAAA